rnacentral:tRNA from 1 species
GCCUGGGUGGCUCAGUCAGUUGAGCAUCUGACUUCGGCUCAGGUCGUGAUCUCGUGGUUCAUGGGUUUGAGCCCCACAUUGGGCU